rnacentral:miRNA from 1 species
UCUGGCUGCUCUGGCCCCCUC